GACGAACGCUGGCGGCGUGCUUAACACAUGCAAGUCGAACGGAAAGGCCCUGCUUUUGUGGGGUUCUCGAGUGGCGAGCGGGUGAGUAACACGUGAGUAACCUGCCCUUGACUUUGGGAUAACUUCAGGAAACUGGGGCUAAUACCCGAUAGGAGCUCCUGCUGCAUGGGGGGGGUUGGAAAGUUUCGGCGGUUGGGGAUGGACUCGCGGCUUAUCAGCUUGUUGGUGGGGUAGUGGCUUACCAAGGCUUUGACGGGUAGCCGGCCUGAGAGGGUGACCGGCCACAUUGGGACUGAGAUACGGCCCAGACUCCUACGGGAGGCAGCAGUGGGGAAUAUUGCACAAUGGGCGGAAGCCUGAUGCAGCAACGUCGCGUGCGGGAUGACGGCCUUCGGGUUGUAAACCGCUUUCGCCUGUGACGAAGCGUGAGUGACGGUAAUGGGUAAAGAAGCACCGGCUAACUACGUG
rnacentral:rRNA from 1 species